rnacentral:rRNA from 1 species
AUUGAACGCUGGCGGAAUGCUUUACACAUGCAAGUCGAACGGCAGCACGGACUUCGGUCUGGUGGCGAGUGGCGAACGGGUGAGUAAUGUAUCGGAACGUGCCCAGUCGUGGGGGAUAACGUAGUGAAAAUUACGCUAAUACCGCAUACGAUCUAUGGAUGAAAGCGGGGGAUCGCAAGACCUCGCGCGAUUGGAGCGGCCGAUAUCAGAUUAGGUAGUUGGUGGGGUAAAGGCCCACCAAGCCAACGAUCUGUAGCUGGUCUGAGAGGACGACCAGCCACACUGGAACUGAGACACGGUCCAGACUCCUACGGGAGGCAGCAGUGGGGGAUUUUGGACAAUGGGCGAGAGCAUGAUCCAGCCAUUCCGCGUGCAGGAUGAAGGCCCUCGGGUUGUAAACUGCUUUUGUACAGAACGAAAAGGUUUCUACUAAUACUAGGAGCUCAUGACGGUACCGUAAGAAUAAGCACCGGCUAACUACGUGCCAGCAGCCGCGGUAA